UUACUUCAGCCAAAGGGAACUGAUUGAAAGUGGGAGUGUGCCUGAGUGAGCAGAUGCUGGAGACCGCCUGGAGGCCCCAGGGCAGCCUGCAGAGGCCAAGAGGUGGAGCACGGAGCUAGGAUGCAGAAAUCCCGGCUGCGGCCAGACCGGGAAAGAGCCCCUUGAUGACAGUCCUGUGAGGCCACAUCUGAUGGAGAAACAGUGCCUCACUAGGAAACAGGGCCACGCCUGGCUGAAAGAUGACGAAGCGACACACUGUAGGCAGUGUGAGAAGGAGUUCUCCAUUUCCCGGAGAAAGCCUAGCUCUGUGGAAGAGAGGAAGCCACAGCUACCCCACCCCCUCCCCAACCCGAGUUUCAGGCAGUGCCUUGCAGUAAGCUCAGAGCUAGAAACCACGUCCUGAGGCUGCCUUUGAGAUCACAUGUGUCUACAAGGCCUGGCUGUCCCCAUCUGUGGAGUCAGAAGCAGAGGCUGCACAGCACCACUGCCGGAACUGUGGCCACAUCUUCUGCAACACCUGCUCCAGCAACGAGCUGGCCCUGCCCUCCUACCCCAAGCCGGUGCGAGUGUGCGACAGCUGCCACACCCUGCUCCUGCAGCGCUGCUCCUCCACGGCCUCCUGAACGUCCGUCCUCAGGAGCACAGCCUCAUGGACAGUGCCAAACCCUGUGGGUCUCCAGGGGCUUGGGAAAUGUGUUCUUUCCCAAGAGAAUCAAAGGAAAGAAUCAAAUUUCUUGCCCGGCCACUGGCACUCCAGAAGACAGCGUGCCGGAACCAGCAGCUCUCACCUUUCUGUGACUCGUUCGGAAUUAACUCCACUGGAUGGAAACUUCCAUCUUACUUGGUUACGUCACGGCUCUGGUUCAGAUACAACUUCAUGAUUUUGCUACUAUCAUUUUUCACUUUUCAAAGAAUUUAACCUAUUUUACAGCAGUUCAGUUCUGCUAGUGAGUAGUUUUCCUCUCCUACCUUCCUUCUAAAAACCUGAUUCAUGCACAGCGUUUGACACACAUGGAGUCUGCCAGUGUGCCUUCUCUGCUUCAGUCAAGAGAUCUGCCAUCUCAUGCCCUUGUG
rnacentral:sRNA from 1 species